rnacentral:rRNA from 1 species
AAAAACAUGUCUUUUUGAAAAUAAUUUAAAGUCUAAUCUGCCCACUGAUAAUUUAUUAAAGGGCUGCAGUAUUUUGACUGUACAAAGGUAGCAUAAUCAAUAGUCUCUUAAUUAGUGACUUGUAUGAAAGAUUGGAUGAAAUAUAUUCUGUCUCUAAUUAAUUUAUAGAAAUUAAUUUUUUAGUAAAAAAGCUAAAAUAAUUUUAAAAGACGAGAAGACCCUAUAGAGUUUAAUAAUUUAUUUAAUUAUUAUUAAUAUAUAAUUUUUAAAAUUAAAAUUAAAUAAAUUAUUUUGUUGGGGUGAUAGAAAAAUUAAAUUAACUUUUUUUAUUUAUUAACAUUAAUUUAUGAUUAGAUGAUCCAUUAAUAAUGAUUAAAAGAAAAAAUUACCUUAGGGAUAACAGCGUAAUUUUUUUUUUUAGUUCAAAUAGGAAAAAAAGUUUGCGACCUCGAUGUUGGAUUAAGAUAAAAUUUAAAUGCAAAAGUUUAAAAUUUUGAUCUGUUCGAUCAUUAAAAUCUUACAUG